AGUGAACGCUGGCGGUAGGCCUAACACAUGCAAGUCGAACGGCAGCACAGUAAUAGCUUGCUCUUACGGGUGGCGAGUGGCGGACGGGUGAGGAAUACAUCCGAAUCUACUUUUUCGUGGGGGCUAACGUAGGGAAACUUACGCUAAUACCGCAUACGACGUACGGGUGAAAGCAGCGGAUCUUCGGACCUUGCGCGAGUGAAUGAGACGAUGUCGGAUUAGCUAGUUGGCGGGGUAAAGGCCCACCAAGGCGACGAUCCGUAGCUGGUCUGAGAGGAUGAUCAGUCACACUGGAACCGAGACACGGUCCAGACUCCUACGGGAGGCAGCAGUGGGGAAUAUUGGACAAUGGGCGCAAGCCUGAUCCAGCCAUACCGCGUGUGUGAAGAAGGUCUUCGGAUUGUAAAGCACUUUUGGUUGGGAAGAAGAGCAGUAAGUUAAUACCUUGCUGUUCUGACGGUACCAAAAGAAUAAGCACCGGCUAACUUCGUG
rnacentral:rRNA from 1 species